UACGUAGGGUGCAAGCGUUGUCCGGAAUUAUUGGGCGUAAAGAGCUUGUAGGCGGUUUGUCGAGUCUGCUGUGAAAUUUCGGGGCUCAACCCCGAACUUGCAGUGGGGACGGGCAGACUAGAGUGUGGUAGGGGAGACUGGAAUUCCUGGUGUAGCGGUGAAAUGCGCAGAUAUCAGGAGGAACACCGAUGGCGAAGGCAGGUCUCUGGGCCAUAACUGACGCUGAGAAGCGAAAGCAUGGGGAGCGAACAGG
rnacentral:rRNA from 1 species